GUGUUGAUCCUGGCUCUAGAUUGAACGCUGGCGGCAUGCCUUACACAUGCAAGUCGAACGGUAACAGGGAGCUUGCUCCGCUGACGAGUGGCGAACGGGUGAGUAAUAUAUCGGAACGUACCUUUGAGUGGGGGAUAACUAGUCGAAAGAUUAGCUAAUACCGCAUACGAUCUACGGAUGAAAGUGGGGGAUCGCAAGACCUCAUGCUUAUAGAGCGGCCGAUAUCUGAUUAGCUAGUUGGUGAGGUAAAGGCUCACCAAGGCUUCGAUCAGUAGCUGGUCUGAGAGGACGACCAGCCACACUGGGACUGAGACACGGCCCAGACUCCUACGGGAGGCAGCAGUGGGGAAUUUUGGACAAUGGGGGCAACCCUGAUCCAGCAAUGCCGCGUGAGUGAAGAAGGCCUUCGGGUUGUAAAGCUCUUUUGUUCAGGGAAGAAACGGGAUGUCCUAAUACGAUGUCCUAAUGACGGUANCUGAAGAAUAAGNACNCGGGUCA
rnacentral:rRNA from 1 species